rnacentral:tRNA from 2 species
GAUUCCGUAGCUCAGCCGGUAGAGCAACGGCCUUUUAAGCCGUGGGUCCUGGGUUCGAAUCCCAGCGGGAUCA